GGAAAAGUCGGAUAAGGAACUACAAGCUACGGGAAGGAAUCGGCUUUUGACGAAAAAGAACAGGAAACACGCAGAUAUACCAGGUGAUUUCAACAGACCACGUCUUUUUCUCUUUUUGAAACCAGGCGAAUCUGAUUACAUCAAUGCGAUAUAUAUCGACAGUUUCAAAAGAAAAAAACCGAUUCCUGGUUGCUCAAACACCUCUGCCUAACACAGUUUCAGAUUUCGCCGCACUUGCUGUUCAAGAAAACUGUUCCUGUAUAGUUAGUAUGGAGGCACGCAAAGCAUAAGGGAAUGGUCGGCUUAUACUUUCCUGUUGACAAUCGAACAAUAAAGGAGAGUUUUGACUCUGUACCAUCAAACCACGAUCAAAGUGCAAGAAACUUUGUAAAACGAUUGCUGCAUAUUGAAGGCGAAGAAAAG